rnacentral:rRNA from 1 species
AGGCAGCAGUGAGGAUAUUGGUCAAUGGACGCGAGUCUGAACCAGCCAAGUAGCGUGAAGGAUGACUGCCCUAUGGGUUGUAAACUUCUUUUAUAUGGGAAUAAAGUGGUCCAYGUGUGSACUUUUGUAUGUACYWUAUGAAUAAGGAUCGGCUAACUCCGUGCCAGCAGCCGCGGUAAUACGGAGGAUCCGAGCGUUAUCCGGAUUUAUUGGGUUUAAAGGGAGCGUAGRYGGAUKGUUAAGUCAGUUGUGAAAGUUUGCGGCUCAACCGUAAAAUUGCAGUUGAUACUGGMWRUCUUGAGUGCAGUWGAGGYGGGCGGAAUUCGUGGUGUAGCGGUGAAAUGCUUAGAUAUCACGA